rnacentral:rRNA from 1 species
UACGUAGGUGGCGAGCGUUGUCCGGAAUUAUUGGGCGUAAAGAGCAUGUAGGCGGCUUAAUAAGUCGAGCGUGAAAAUGCGGGGCUCAACCCCGUAUGGCGCUGGAAACUGUUAGGCUUGAGUGCAGGAGAGGAAAGGGGAAUUCCCAGUGUAGCGGUGAAAUGCGUAGAUAUUGGGAGGAACACCAGUGGCGAAGGCGCCUUUCUGGACUGUGUCUGACGCUGAGAUGCGAAAGCCAGGGUAGCGAACGGGAUUAGAUACCCCGGUAGUCCUGGCCGUAAACGAUGGGUACUAGGUGUAGGAGGUAUCGACCCCUUCUGUGCCGGAGUUAACGCAAUAAGUACCCCGCCUGGGGAGUACGGCCGCAAGGUUGAA